AAUUUGAUUGAAUCGAAAUGCAUAAUGCGUUUGAAUGCACUGCCACAUCGUCGUGAAACUACCAAUACAGAUUGAAUCAGUGACGACGUGCGGUGCGACGUUGCUUGUUGGCACGAAUAGAGGACAUUUGUUGCUCUAUGAAAUGACGUCAUCAGGAGAUGGUUUGUCACAGAAGUGGAAAGUUGAGUUGAAACGGACAAAUAGAAACUUUGCUAACAAACCUAUUGGACAAAGAUGAUGUGACUAUAUUUAUUAAUGCUAUUACUUGGAAACCAACUCAGAAACAUGCAACAACAUGGAGUACAGUAGCACGCCUACUAGUAGUUGCAGGGUUACUUGAUUGGCGUCUCUGCUAAUCCUCACCUAUACAGGGUUGCAUGUGGUCGUCAAUUUUGGAGCCAAAUUUGGAUGUUGCUACCCUGAACCUGUAGCCAAAGUGCUUGGACACCC